UGGGGAAUAUUGCACAAUGGGCGCAAGCCUGAUGCAGCCAUGCCGCGUGUAUGAAGAAGGCCUUCGGGUUGUAAAGUACUUUCAGCGAGGAGGAAGGCGUUGUGGUUAAUAACCGCAACGAUUGACGUUACUCGCAGAAGAAGCACCGGCUAACUCCGUGCCAGCAGCCGCGGUAAUACGGAGGGUGCAAGCGUUUAUCGGAAUUACUGGGCGUAAAGCGCACGCAGGCGGUCUGUCAAGUCGGAUGUGAAAUCCCCGGGCUCAACCUGGGAACUGCAUCCGAAACUGGCAGGCUAGAGUCUUGUAGAGGGGGGUAGAAUUCCAGGUGUAGCGGUGAAAUGCGUAGAGAUCUGGAGGAAUACCGGUGGCGAAGGCGGCCCCCUGGACAAAGACUGACGCUCAGGUGCGAAAGCGUGGGGAGCAAACA
rnacentral:rRNA from 1 species